AGCGCAGGUGGUUGUAUAAGUCUGAAGUAAAAGGCAGUGGCUCAACCAUUGUGUGCUUUGGAAACUGUACAACUUGAGUGCAGAAGGGGAGAGUGGAAUUCCACGUGUAGCGGUGAAAUGCGUAGAUAUAUGGAGGAACACCGGUGGCGAAAGCGGCUCUCUGGUCUGUAACUGACACUGAGGCUCGAAAGCGUGGGAGCAAACA
rnacentral:rRNA from 1 species